GCUUACGGCCAUAUCAGCCUGGGUACGCCCGAUCUCGUCUGAUCUCGGAAGCUAAGCAGGGUCGGGCCUGGUUAGUACUUGGAUGUGAGACCGCCUGGGAAUACCAGGUGCUGUAAGCA
rnacentral:rRNA from 1 species